AUUGAACGCUGGCGGCAGGCCUAACACAUGCAAGUCGAGCGAGCGGCGGACGGGUGAGUAAUGUAUGGGGACUGCCCGAUAGAGGGGGAUAACUACUGGAAACGGUAGCUAAUACCGCAUACUAUCGGAUAACCCAUAUGGGAUUAGCUAGUAGGUGAGGUAAUGGCUCACCUAGGCGACGAUCCCUAGCUGGUCUGAGAGGAUGAUCAGCCGAACGGGGACAGGUACGCGGACCACGCCCCUACGGUGGCAGGAGUGGGGGAUGUUGGACAAUGGGCGCAAACCUGAUGCCGCCCUGCCGCGUGUAUGAAGGAGGCCCUAGGGUUGUAAAGUACUUUCAGUAGGGAGGCGUUACCGACAGAAGAAGCACCGGCUAACUCCGUGCCAGCAGCCGCGGUAAUAC
rnacentral:rRNA from 1 species